UACGUAGGGGGCAAGCGUUGUCCGGAAUUAUUGGGCGUAAAGAGCGUGUAGGCGGUCCGGUAAGUCAGCUGUGAAAGUCAAGGGCUCAACCCUUGAAAGCCGGUUGAUACUGUCGGGCUAGAGUCCGGAAGAGGCGAGUGGAAUUCCCGGUGUAGCGGUGAAAUGCGCAGAUAUCGGGAGGAAGACCAGUGGCGAAGGCGGGUCUCUGGACAGUUCCUGACGCUGAGGCACGAAGGCCAGGGGAGCAAACGGG
rnacentral:rRNA from 1 species